CACUCCUACGGGAGGCAGCAGUGGGGAAUAUUGCACAAUGGGCGCAAGCCUGAUGCAGCCAUGCCGCGUGUAUGAAGAAGGCCUUCGGGUUGUAAAGUACUUUCAGCGGGGAGGAAGGCAAUACGGUUAAUAACCGUGUUGAUUGACGUUACCCGCAGAAGAAGCACCGGCUAACUCCGUGCCAGCAGCCGCGGUAAUACGGAGGGUGCAAGCGUUAAUCGGAAUUACUGGGCGUAAAGCGCACGCAGGCGGUCUGUCAAGUCGGAUGUGAAAUCCCCGGGCUCAACCUGGGAACUGCAUUCGAAACUGGCAGGCUUGAGUCUUGUAGAGGGGGGUAGAAUUCCAGGUGUAGCGGUGAAAUGCGUAGAGAUCUGGAGGAAUACCGGUGGCGAAGGCGGCCCCCUGGACAAAGACUGACGCUCAGGUGCGAAAGCGUGGGGAGCAAACAGGAUUAGAUACCCCGGUAGUCCC
rnacentral:rRNA from 1 species